UACGUAGGGUGCGAGCGUUAAUCGGAAUUACUGGGCGUAAAGCGUGCGCAGGCGGUUCGUUGUGUCGGCGGUGAAAGCCCCGGGCUUAACCUGGGAAUGGCCGUUGAAACUGGCGAACUGGAGUGUGGCAGAGGGGGGUGGAAUUCCGCGUGUAGCAGUGAAAUGCGUAGAUAUGUGGAGGAAUACCGAUGGCGAAGGCAGCCCCCUGGGAUAACACUGACGCUCAUGCACGAAAGCGUGGGGAGCAAACAGG
rnacentral:rRNA from 1 species